rnacentral:rRNA from 1 species
CCUACGGGAGGCAGCAGUCGAGAAUCAUUCACAAUGGGGGAAACCCUGAUGGUGCGACGCCGCGUGGGGGAAUGAAGGUCUUCGGAUUGUAAACCCCUGUCAUGUGGGAGCAAAUUAAAAAGAUAGUACCACAAGAGGAAGAGACCGCUAACUCUGUGCCAGCAGCCGCGGUAAUACAGAGGUCUCAAGCGUUGUUCGGAAUCACUGGGGGUAAAGCGUGCGUAGGCUGUUUCGUAAGUCGUGUGUGAAAGGCCCGGGCUCAACCCGCGGACGGCACAUGAUACUGCGAGACUAGAGUAAUGGAGGGGGAACCGGAAUUCUCGGUGUAGCAGUGAAAUGCGUAGAUAUCGAGAGGAACACUCGUGGCGAAGGCGGGUUCCUGGACAUUAACUGACGCUGAGGCACGAAGGCCAGGGGAGCGAAAGGGAUUAGAUACCCCAGUAGUC